AAAAACAUGGAGCGUUGGAUAUGGCCUGAUUAAUUGACGUGGCAGAUCCAACAAUCCUCGGGUUUGGGUGCACGAUGGAAAUUAGUAGAAAUGAAACAUGGGAUCUAAUUCAAAUUGAAUCAAUCUAAACAUUUCAAAUUUCCAACGUGUCCAGUCAAACUCAGAUGAUCUCAGAUACUCUGAUCAUCUUCUCUGAUGGUCUCUCAUCGAAGUUUCAUCGUUUGGUAAAUUCAGAACACGAGAC
rnacentral:lncRNA from 1 species